rnacentral:rRNA from 1 species
GUGCCAGCCGCCGCGGUAAUACGUAGGAUGCAAGCGUUAUCCGGAUUCACUGGGCUUAGAGCGCGUGUAGGUGGUGGGGUAAGUCUGUGAUUAAAUCUCCUGGCUCAACCGGGAGCAUGUCAUGGAUACUGCCUUACUGGAGGUCAGACGGGGAAAGUGGAAUUCCCGGUGUAGGGGUAAAAUCCGUUGAUAUCGGGAGGAACGCCUGAGGUGAAGACGACUUUCUAGACUGAUCCUGACACUGAGACGCGAAAGCCAGGGGAGCGAAAGGGAUUAGAAACCCCGGUAGUCC